AACACAUGCAAGUCGAGGGGCAGCAUGGUCUUAGCUUGCUAAGGCCGAUGGCGACCGGCGCACGGGUGAGUAACACGUAUCCAACCUGCCGUCUACUCUUGGACAGCCUUCUGAAAGGAAGAUUAAUACAAGAUGGCAUCAUGAGUCCGCAUGUUCACAUGAUUAAAGGUAUUCCGGUAGACGAUGGGGAUGCGUUCCAUUAGAUAGUAGGCGGGGUAACGGCCCACCUAGUCUUCGAUGGAUAGGGGUUCUGAGAGGAAGGUCCCCCACAUUGGAACUGAGACACGGUCCAAACUCCUACGGGAGGCAGCAGUGAGGAAUAUUGGUCAAUGGGCGAGAGCCUGAACCAGCCAAGUAGCGUGAAGGAUGACUGCCCUAUGGGUUGUAAACUUCUUUUAUAAAGGAAUAAAGUCGGGUAUGGAUACCCGUUUGCAUGUACUUUAUGAAUAAGGAUCGGCUAACUCCGUGCCAGCAGCCGCGGUAAUACGGAGGAUCCGAGCGUUAUCCGGAUUUAUUGGGUUUAAAGGGAGCGUAGAUGGAUAUUUAAGUCAGUUGUGAAAGUUUGCGGCUCAACCGUAAAAUUGCAGUUGAUACUGGAUAUCUUGAGUGCAGUUGAGGCAGGCGGAAUUCGUGGUGUAGCGGUGAAAUGCUUAGAUAUCACGAAGAACUCCGAUUGCGAAGGC
rnacentral:rRNA from 1 species